UGCAAGUCGAACGCUUUGUGGUUCAACUGAUUUGAAGAGCUUGCUCAGAUAUGACGAUGGACAUUGCAAAGAGUGGCGAACGGGUGAGUAACACGUGGGAAACCUACCUCUUAGCAGGGGAUAACAUUUGGAAACAGAUGCUAAUACCGUAUAACAAUGACAACCGCAUGGUUGUUAUUUAAAAGAUGGUUCUGCUAUCACUAAGAGAUGGUCCCGCGGUGCAUUAGCUAGUUGGUAAGGUAAUGGCUUACCAAGGCGAUGAUGCAUAGCCGAGUUGAGAGACUGAUCGGCCACAAUGGGACUGAGACACGGCCCAUACUCCUACGGGAGGCAGCAGUAGGGAAUCUUCCACAAUGGGCGAAAGCCUGAUGGAGCAACGCCGCGUGUGUGAUGAAGGGUUUCGGCUCGUAAAACACUGUUGUAAGAGAAGAAUGACAUUGAGAGUAACUGUUCAAUGUGUGACGGUAUCUUACCAGAAAGGAACGGCUAAAUACGUGCCAGCAGCCGCGGUAAUACGUAUGUUCCAAGCGUUAUCCGGAUUUAUUGGGCGUAAAGCGAGCGCAGACGGUUAUUUAAGUCUGAAGUGAAAGCCCUCAGCUCAACUGAGGAAUUGCUUUGGAAACUGGAUGACUUGAGUGCAGUAGAGGAAAGUGGAACUCCAUGUGUAGCGGUGAAAUGCGUAGAUAUAUGGAAGAACACCAGUGGCGAAGGCGGCUUUCUGGACUGUAACUGACGUUGAGGCUCGAAAGUGUGGGUAGCAAACAGGAUUAGAUACCCUGGUAGUCCACACCGUAAACGAUGAGUGCUAGGUGUUUGAGGGUUUCCGCCCUUAAGUGCCGCAGCUAACGCAUUAAGCACUCCGCCUGGGGAGUACGACCGCAAGGUUGAAACUCAAAGGAAUUGACGGGGACCCGCACAAGCGGUGGAGCAUGUGGUUUAAUUCGAAGCAACGCGAAGAACCUUACCAGGUCUUGACAUCCCUUGACAACUCCAGAGAUGGAGCGUUCCCUUCGGGGACAAGGUGACAGGUGGUGCAUGGUUGUCGUCAGCUCGUGUCGUGAGAUGUUGGGUUAAGUCCCGCAACGAGCGCAACCCUUAUUACUAGUUGCCAGCAUUCAGUUGGGCACUCUAGUGAGACUGCCGGUGACAAACCGGAGGAAGGUGGGGAUGACGUCAAAUCAUCAUGCCCCUUAUGACCUGGGCUACACACGUGCUACAAUGGCGUAUACAACGAGUUGCCAACCCGCGAGGGUGAGCUAAUCUCUUAAAGUACGUCUCAGUUCGGAUUGUAGGCUGCAACUCGCCUACAUGAAGUCGGAAUCGCUAGUAAUCGCGGAUCAGCACGCCGCGGUGAAUACGUUCCCGGGUCUUGUACACACCGCCCGUCACACCAUGAGAGUUUGUAACACCCAAAGCCGGUGGGGUAACCUUCGGGAGCCAGCCGU
rnacentral:rRNA from 1 species